CCUACGGGGGGCAGCAGUAGGGAAUUUUCGGCAAUGGGCGAAAGCCUGACCGAGCAACGCCGCGUGAACGAAGAAGGUCUUCGGAUUGUAAAGUUCUUUUAUAGAGGAAGAACGGUGUACGUAGGAAGUGGCGUAGAAAUGACGGUACUCUGUGAGGAAGCCACGGCUAACUACGUGCCAGCAGCUGCGGUAAUACGGAGGUGGCGAGCGUUAUUCGGAAUGAUUGGGCGUAAAGAGGGAGCAGGUGGUCUGGAGGGUCUGUUGUUAAAAGGCGAGGGCCUAACCAAUGUAAGGAGAUGAAAACGGCAGGCUAGAGUACUAAAGAGGAGCGUGGAAUUCGAGGUGUAGCGGUGAAAUGCGUAGAUAUAUGGAGGAACACCAGUGGCGAAGGCGACGAUCUGGGAAGAAACAGACACUGAGUCCCGAAAGUGUGGGGAGCAAAUAGGAUUAGAUACCCGUGUAGUC
rnacentral:rRNA from 1 species